rnacentral:rRNA from 1 species
ACAAUGAAGAGUUUGAUCCUGGCUCAGGAUGAACGCUAGCGACAGGCCUAACACAUGCAAGUCGAGGGGCAGCACAAGGUAGCAAUACUUGGGUGGCGACCGGCGGACGGGUGAGUAACACGUAUGCAACCUGCCCGUAAUCGGGGGAUAACCCGGAGAAAUUCGGACUAAAACUCCAUGUAUCUGAGAUAUCGCAUGAUAAAACAGAAAAACGCAAGGAUUACGGAUGGGCAUGCGGAUGAUUAGCUAGUUGGAGGGGUAACGGCCCGCCAAGGCGACGAUCAUUAGGGGUUCUGAGAGGAAGGUCCCCCACAUUGGAACUGAGAGACGGUCCAAACUCCUACGGGAGGCAGCAGUGAGGAAUAUUGGUCAAUGGGCGAGAGCCUGAACCAGCCAAGUCGCGUGAAGGAAGAAGGUCUUAUGGAUUGUAAACUUCUUUAGCAGAGGGAUAAAGGUUAUUACGAGAUAAUAAUUUGCAGGUACUCUGCGAAAAAGGAUCGGCUAACUCCGUGCCAGCAGCCGCGGUAAUACGGAGGAUUCGAGCGUUAUCCGGAUUUAUUGGGUUUAAAGGGUGCGUAGGCGGGUUUGUAAGUCAGUGGUGAAAGUUUCCGGCUUAACCGGGAGAAUGCCGUUGAGACUGCAAAUCUUGAGUGCAAGCGAGGUAAGUGGAAUGUGUUGUGUAGCGGUGAAAUGCAUAGAUAUAACACAGAACACCGAUUGCGAAGGCAGCUUACUAGUAUGUAACUGACGCUGAGGCACGAAAGCGUGGGGAGCAAACAGGAUUAGAUACCCUGGUAGUCCACGCAGUAAACGAUGAAUACUAGCUGUAUGCGAUAGACAGUAUGCGGCGGAGCGAAAGCAUUAAGUAUUCCACCUGGGGAGUACGUCGGCAACGAUGAAACUCAAAGGAAUUGACGGGGGCCCGCACAAGCGGAGGAACAUGUGGUUUAAUUCGAUGAUACGCGAGGAACCUUACCCGGGCUUGAAUUGCAGACGAAUAAUGAGGAAACUUGUUAGCCAGCAAUGGCGUCUGUGAAGGUGCUGCAUGGUUGUCGUCAGCUCGUGCCGUGAGGUGUCGGCUUAAGUGCCAUAACGAGCGCAACCCUUAUCAUUAGUUACUAGCAGGUAAAGCUGAGGACUCUAGUGAGACUGCCGCCGUAAGGUGAGAGGAAGGGAGGGAUGACGUCAAAUCAGCACGGCCCUUAUGUCCGGGGCGACACACGUGUUACAAUGGGGGGUACAGAGGGGAGCUACCAUGCGAAUGGGAGCGAAUCCUUAAAAAGCCUCUCUCAGUUCGGAUUGGAGUCUGCAACUCGACUCCAUGAAGCUGGAUUCGCUAGUAAUCGCGCAUCAGCCAUGGCGCGGUGAAUACGUUCCCGGGCCUUGUACACACCGCCCGUCAAGCCAUGGGAGCCGGGGGUACCUGAAGUACGUGAUUCUGCGCAAGUGGGAAGCGUCCUAGGGUAAAACUGGUGACUGGGGCUAAGUCGUAACAAGGUAGCCGUACCGGAAGGUGUGGCUGGAACACCUCCUUU